AGUGAACGCUGGCGGUAGGCCUAACACAUGCAAGUCGAACGGCAGCACAGUAAGAGCUUGCUCUUACGGGUGGCGAGUGGCGGACGGGUGAGGAAUACAUCGGAAUCUACUUUUUCGUGGGGGAAAACGUAGGGAAACUUACGCUAAUACCGCAUACGACCUACGGGUGAAAGCAGGGGAUCUUCGGACCUUGCGCGAUUGAAUGAGCCGAUGUCGGAUUAGCUAGUUGGCGGGGUAAAGGCCCACCAAGGCGACGAUCCGUAGCUGGUCUGAGAGGAUGAUCAGCCACACUGGAACUGAGACACGGUCCAGACUCCUACGGGAGGCAGCAGUGGGGAAUAUUGGACAAUGGGCGCAAGCCUGAUCCAGCCAUACCGCGUGGGUGAAGAAGGCCCUCGGGUUGUAAAGCCCUUUUGUUGGGAAAGAAAAGCAGCAGGUUAAUACCCCGCUGUUCUGACGGUACCCAAAGAAUAAGCACCGGCUAACUUCGUG
rnacentral:rRNA from 1 species